rnacentral:sRNA from 1 species
UUGUCGUUUUAAGUGGUUGAGUCUAGAAUACUAGAAUCCCUUCUGGAUUAGUUGCGCUUAUUGCUUGUUUCACUGGCUAAUGUGGAAUAUGAAUCCAAACGCUCCGGCGAUCAGAAGGCGUUUAAUGGAACGUUGGAUCUAUUAAUUCCAGAGAUAUUCGCCUCUACCCCAAGGGAUUGGCUUUAACAAGUUGAUUCGAUAUUGCCUGCUUAGUUAGAGAUCUCUAAUGGGAAUUAGGUCAGUGUCUAGCUUUGCUUGAGGAUUUCUAUCACGGGACUGAAUUAAUCUGUUGUUGAACUUGUUGUCUAGGGAUAGCUUCUGUGAAGUUUUGUCAACCGCCUAAAUAGAUUAAGGAGACCACACUAUUCGAUUACCCCGUCUUUAGGAAUCGUUUAUCUAUUUGACUGCCUGUUAUCAUUUCUGCUUUGUUAUUCACCUGCCUGUUAUUGCCGUUUCUGCUUUUAGUUUCAUUUCAUUUCUGUUAUUGCAUACUAGGACUGUUAGAACCAACCAACUCUCUACUUGGCUUGACUUAGAGCUUUCAAAUCAUAUCUCAUCUGUUU